rnacentral:rRNA from 1 species
AAAAGCGGAGGAAAAGAAACUAACAAGGAUUCCCCUAGUAGCGGCGAGCGAAGCGGGAAGAGCUCAAAUUUAUAAUCUGGCACCUUCGGUGUCCGAGUUGUAAUCUCUAGAAAUGUUUUCCGCGUUGGACCGCACACAAGUCUGUUGGAAUACAGCGGCAUAGUGGUGAGACCCCCGUAUAUGGUGCGGACGCCCAGCGCUUUGUGAUACAUUUUCGAAGAGUCGAGUUGUUUGGGAAUGCAGCUCAAAUUGGGUGGUAAAUUCCAUCUAAAGCUAAAUAUUGGCGAGAGACCGAUAGCGAACAAGUACCGUGAGGGAAAGAUGAAAAGCACUUUGGAAAGAGAGUUAACAGUACGUGAAAUUGUUGGAAGGGAAACGCUUGAAGUCAGACUUGCUUGCCGAGCAAUCGGUUUGCAGGCCAGCAUCAGUUUUCCGGGAUGGAUAAUGGUAGAGAGAAGGUAGCAGUUUCGGCUGUGUUAUAGCUCUCUGCUGGAUACAUCUUGGGGGACUGAGGAACGCAGUGUGCCUUUGGCGGGGGUUUCGACCUCUUCACACUUAGGAUGCUGGUGGAAUGGCUUUAAACGACCCGUCUUGAAACCCGGGACACAAA